AAAUGCUCAAUUUCUUCUAUGCGCUGGAGUCUGAAAAAGCUAAGCUCCAUAAAGAAUGACUUUCCCGGAAAGUUUACUCAAUUUCCCGGAAAUGGUAAGAAAACCCUCUUUCUCUCUCUAAGCUCUCUCUCCUCCUCGUCCUCAUCCCAAUAAUCGGCAUGCAUUUGUUCCAGACAUGAGUUUCCUCAAAGGGAUCAUCGAUUCUUUUGGUUCGGUCUUCUCCGCCGCUUCCGCCUCAUACGAGUCUCACCCAAACUCUGAUUCUCCUCCAAAUUCGUCAACCAUGGAAGGCAUAGCUGGACCUGGAGCUUCGGUCUCCAACGAGCGUGUUGCGUACAAGCUUAGGGGGUACUUCGAUUUAGCAAAGGAUGAGAUCGCCAAGGCUGUUAGGGCUGAAGAGUGGGGCUUAGUCGACGACGCCAUUGCUCACUAUAACAACGCCCAGAGAGUUCUCGUUGAAGCAACGUCCACUCCCGUGCCUUCCUAUAUCAGCCCCAGUGAGCGAGAGAAGGUCAAAUCUUAUCGCCAAAAAAUAUCAAAAUGGCAGGGUGAAGUUUCUGAAAGGUUACAGGCCUUGAGUAGGCGAGCAGGUGGCACGUCUGUUAGCAAAAGCACCUUAGCCCAUGCGCAGACUGCUGUAGUUAAACCAACGACAUCAAAUGCCAGAAAGCAUGUGUUACCCAAGUCUCCUCGUCCCACUACAAACAGACCCGAAAUGAGGAAUCAGAUUCAGACCAAUAAUAUUGUAAGCUCAAAACCUGUGCAAGAGACUGGUGGUGGUUAUGAUGCAAAAUUGGUGGAAAUGAUAAAUAGUGCUAUAGUGGAUAGAAGCCCUUCAGUUAAGUGGGAAGAUGUAGCCGGUCUUGAGAAGGUUAAGAAAACUUUGAUGGAGAUGGUUAUUUUACCAACUAAGAGAAGAGACUUGUUCACUGGUCUUCGAAGGCCAGCUAGAGGUCUGCUUUUGUUCGGUCCACCUGGGAAUGGGAAGACCAUGCUUGCUAAGGCAGUUGCAUCAGAGUCUGAGGCAACAUUUUUUAAUGUAUCUGCUUCUUCACUGACAUCAAAAUGGGUAGGAGAGGCUGAAAAGCUUGUGCGAACCCUUUUCUUGGUUGCUAUAUCCAGACAGCCAUCAGUAAUUUUCAUGGAUGAAAUUGAUAGUAUCAUGUCAACAAGGCUUGCAAAUGAAAAUGAUGCAAGCAGAAGGUUGAAGUCAGAGUUUUUAAUACAGUUUGAUGGGGUGACCUCUAAUCCUAAUGAUCUGGUAAUUGUGAUUGGUGCUACUAAUAAGCCACAAGAACUGGAUGACGCGGUUCUUAGAAGACUGGUGAAGAGAGUGUACAUACCUUUACCAGAUUUAACAGCAAGGAGACUGCUUCUAAGACACAAACUCAAGGGCCAAGCGUUUUCCUUACCAAGUGGAGAUCUUGAAAGACUUGCAAGAGAGACAGAAGGAUAUUCAGGAAGUGAUCUGCAAGCAUUGUGUGAAGAAGCUGCAAUGAUGCCUAUUAGGGAACUGGGUGAAAACAUUCUCACCAUCAAGGCAAAUCAGGUAAGACCACUUAGAUACGAAGAUUUUCAGAAGGCAAUGACUGUAAUCAGACCAAGCUUAAGCAAAAGCAAGUGGGAAGAGCUUGAACGGUGGAACGAGGACUUCGGCUCUAAUUGAAUGCCUAUUACAGCACUCUCUAUGAUUUUUACGAUCAAAGCAGCCUUAUUUAUAUGCCGCCACUGGUACAAAGAAUGAUGCUGAAAAAAGCCAGGAGGUGGGAUGUGAAAACCCAAAAGAAGGAAAAAGCAUCUCUAAUUGUGUACAUGGCACACACCUCGCCUCAAAUUGGUCUCUGCCUGCUCUUAAUUCUUUGUAUUCUUCUGUGUAAGGUGUAUAUAUAUAUAUAUAUUAUAAUCAUAGUUGGGUUUUCCACGCCGGAAGGCCAUUGUAGAUGCAUUGACAAAAUCUUUAAUGCACCAAGAAAUUGUAAAAUUUCCAAUAUUUUUAGCUCCGAGUGCCAAUGAAGAAGUUGAUAUUCAGAUGAUAAUUGCAAGCGAGCGAUCAUAUGAACUUUCAAUAAUGUUAAGAGUUACCAAAUUUGUUAUAAAUGGUGUAGCAUAUCGGAA